UACAGAGGUCUCAAGCGUUGUUCGGAUUCAUUGGGCGUAAAGGGUGUGUAGGUGGCGCGCUAAGUCAGGUGUGAAAUCUCGGGGCUCAACCCCGAAACUGCACUUGAUACUGCGGUGCUCGAGUACUGGAGAGGAGAUUGGAAUUUACGGUGUAGCAGUGAAAUGCGUAGAUAUCGUAAGGAAGACCAGUGGCGAAGGCGAAUCUCUGGACAGUUACUGACACUGAGGCACGAAGGCCAGGGGAGCAAACGGG
rnacentral:rRNA from 1 species